rnacentral:rRNA from 1 species
UACGAUGAGGGCAAGCGUUGUUCGGAAUACUGGGCGUAAAGCGCGCGUAGGCGGACAUGUAAGUGGAUUGUGAAAUCCCCUGGGCUUAACCUGGGAACUGCAGUCCAUACUGCAUGUCUUGAGUGCCUGAGAGGAUGGCGGAAUUCCCGGUGUAGUAGUGAAAUACGUAGAUAUGCGGAGGAACACCGAUGGCGAAGGCAAUCCCCUGGGCCUGCACUGACGCUCAUGCACGAAAGCGUGGGGAGCAAACAGG